CCUACGGGAGGCAGCAGUAAGGAAUAUUGGUCAAUGGGCGCAAGCCUGAACCAGCCAUGCCGCGUGCAGGAAGACGGCCCUACGGGUUGUAAACUGCUUUUAUUCGGGAAUAAACCUCUUUACGUGUAAAGAGCUGAAUGUACCGAAGGAAUAAGGAUCGGCUAACUCCGUGCCAGCAGCCGCGGUAAU
rnacentral:rRNA from 1 species